CCCAAUAUUUCCCCCUUUCCCCUUUGUCUGUAAAAGAAACGAUGUAAAACAAACCAGACCAAGAAUCGAUUACAUACAUAUCUCCAGAACCACCGAUGAAAAUCUGAAACGGUGUCAAAGUUUCUCUAUCUAAAUCGAUAAAGAAAUAUACUACUACACAUCCGAUUAUAAAUUUGAAGAGAAGAGAAGCUUACAUACAAUAAUAGCCGAUGUCGAACUCAGAGACUGAAAAAACGCAGCUUUGGCGGUUGAAGAAAUCACAAUCGGAGAAAUGUUGUAUUUGAAGAUGUUAGCGAAAACUGAAGUUGUUCAAAGGAAUGCCUUGAAAUUCUUUAAGAGCGGAAACACAAUCAGAUCUCACUUCUUAACACUGAGCUUGGAUGGGAUGCCACAUUCUUGUGUUCAGGGGAAAGUUAUAACUGGAAGAAGUGUUGUGGAUGAGUCUAUGCUUACUGGUGAGUCUCUUCCUGUUUUUAAGGAAGAAGGGCUUUUUGUCUCAGCUGGAACAGUUUGGAUGGGAUAGUGAUUUUUUCUAUCAUGCUCAAAACAGUGCUACUUCUCAACAGAGAGAGAAAUGUAGUAAAGGGUGCCGAGAAUGGUUUAAAAAUGGAUGAAGGGUUCAAAUGUACAAACACAAGCAAUAUUUGGUUAUGUACAUGUGAUUGUUAUGGUUAGUUGAAAGGUUGUACUUCAAAAAGUAAACAAAGUUUGAAUCUUCACAAUCUAGCAAUCUAGCAACUUGAUGGUCUGACUAUUAGUGAAAGUUUUUUUGCAGUCCUUAUUAUGACAUUCAUAACCAUUAGUUGCUCCAAUUAAACCAUUUCCAUCAUGUUGAUCGUCUGCACCAGGAGGCCGAAAUGCUCUGUAGUUGCAAUUUGUACAUGCCAAAUAAUGCCAUGGUUCAUUUUGUAAAAUUCCCUUUAUAAUGCCCAUGAUAAUGAAUGUAUUUUUCUGCAUAUUAAUUUUAUUUUAAUAAAUAAAUAUGCAUAACAAAAAAAAAGUAGAGUUAUAUUGAUAAUAAAGUAUAUAUAAGCCGCACUUCCACAGGUUCAGGAACAUCAGCAAUAGUCUUCAACCGAAACUUAACCAUGAAAUCAUCAUGUUCAGAAACCUUAUUAGACUUCAUAAGUGUGAUGGUAUUCAUGGAUGAAUCCGAGCGAUCAUCUCCAUCCAAACUGUUAGAUAAAAUCAAAUUAGCAAAAAUUAGUCACAUAAGAUUUGGAUGUAGAAAUUAGAAUGUAAUAACAUAAAAUAAGUAAUGUUACUCACAAGAAAGUUAAUUAUAGAAAUUACAAUGAUAACAUAAAUUACCUUUUCUUAAAAUCAUUGAUUUCAUCAAUGUCAAUGUUAAUGAACAACUUUGACACGGUAAAGUAGGUGUUAACUGUGGGGCGAUCUAUAAAAAAGAUGUUAUUCAUUGUUAGUGUAAUGAUUAUAGAAUAAUAUUUAAUAAGAAAAUAAUACAAUAUACCUCUCCAAAUACUAAGCUUUGCAAAUUGAAUGAUAACAAUGAUACGAAGAUUGUGUGGGUUGUUAUCAAGAAAGCCAUGCAUUUUGUAAGCAAAAUCACCCCACAAAUUGACACUCAGUUACAAACCACUAAAAACUAAAAGUUUUAAAUUAAAUGAAAUGAUUAUUAUAUAAUCUAAUAUACAAAAAUAAAAAUAAAUUUUAACAAACUUUGCAUCUUGGAUUUGGAGGUUAAGCCUGUGUUUUUUCAUAUAAGCAUUGUCUCGCACCAUCUCACCAAAUGCAAUGAUUAAUCCAAUAACAUCUAUUAACAACAACAAAUAUCAAUGAAAUAUUGUUAUUAACAUAAAGAUAAAAUAUUAUAUUCAAACAAAAAAAUUGCCCAUAAUUAAUCUAUAUUAAAAUGCAACUAACCGAUAGCAGUGUUUUCAGGAUGCGCCAAUGAGAUAAUAGACUGGUAAUCAACAAACUCAAAACCAAAUGUAGUUCCAGAAAAGUCAUGACACUCGGUAACAACAGUGUCAUUAAGAAAACUAAGUUUAUGUUCCUGUUGAGUUAACCUGAAAGCACCCUUCUUUUGUGAUGCAAAGCUUGGACAUUUUAUGUAAAAUGCCAAGCCAUCUUUUAAAAUGUUUUUGAAUCGGUAGAUGUAUUUUUUUAAUACAUUUGCUUGUAUCGUGGUACCUUAAAAGAAAUAUAAUAUAUAAAAUUUAUAAUUAAAUCAUAUUAUAUUUUAAUGUGUAAAUAAUAUAUAAUGUUAACUUGAUAGAUACCUGUUCAUCUAUCAAAAUUAACUCAAUAGAGAAGAGUUCAUCAUUGUUAUAGAAUGAAAAAAGGUUCCAUAGGUUUAUCACUCUGACUUUGAUAGUUGAAUCAUCUUUGAGUACAUCUAAAUCUGCAAUGAAAGUAACAUCUGGAUGUGCCAUUGAUCUGCAAAUAAUAAAGUAUGUAUAAAAUGUUUAGUUAGAAGGUAAAAUAACAAAUAACAUAUAUAAAUUGAAUUAAACAACAACAAUUUCCAAUUUGAAGACAAAGACAGGAAGAACAUAACAAAAAAUGUAUGAAAAAACGGAACUAUUUGUGCAAUUUGAUAUUAAAAGAAACGAAUUACAGUUUGAAUAGAAAGACAUGCAAAAAAGAAAACAAAGAAUGUAUGAAAAGAUGGAAAUGUGAAGUUACAAGUUAAAAUAACAAAUAACAUAUAUAAAAUGAAAUGAAAAACAACAAAUUCCAGUUUGAACACAAAGACAGAAAAAAAAGAGAAUAAAAAUUCCCUAAAAAAUGAAACUAUUUGUGCAGUUUGAUUUGAAAAUAAUUGGCUGAAAUAAAAAAACGAAUUAAAGAUUACAUAUUGUAUUUUACAUAAAUAAAUUUGCUUUUAUUUAAAUUUAAAAAGAGGUAGAGGAGUAUGAUCUGAAAAUAAUUGUCAAGAAAAAAAAUAAUAACAACUUUUUAAAUAGUUACUGCAUUUCCUGCAAACAUAGCAAGAAUGAAAAUCAAUUAAUUGAUGUAAACAUAGAAUUGAACAUAUUACGAGUUGUGAAUGAUUGAAACUACCGAAAAAAAGAGAACAAAGAAAGAUCGAAACUACUGAAAUAGAUGUAGAGUUUGAUGUUAAAAUAAAAAAAAUUUAAAAGAUUGUAUUACUAACCUUUUGCAAAUCGGUAGAGCAGAGCAGAUAAGAAACUGAAAAUUGGAGGACAAACCAGUAGAAGGUUAUGUGCAAUUCAAUAGGUAUAUAUAAAUAUGUAGAGACUAAUGAAGCACAUAUUUUAUUCCUGAUUUUUAUGGAUUUGAUUAGUGGGUAAUUGAUUUAAAUUUGGAAUUCGGUACAGAUUUAUGAUUAUGAUCUACAAAUAAUUGGCAGGGAAAAAAAAAGGAAAUUGUAGUCAACGAUUUGCAUUCAUUUGAUUCCUGAAUUACAGGAGUUGAUAAUGUGAAUUUAAAGGAGCUGAUUUAUCGAGAUUUUGACCAUAAAAAUAGGAUUGAUAUGAGUUUUUAUUUGCAGGUAUUUGAAAAUAUUUGAGCUGAUUUUUAGGGGCUGUUUCUCGAUUUUUUGCUGAUGUUUAGGGGCAGUUUCUUGAAUUUUUGGUGUAAAGAAUGGGCGGGAAUUUGAUGCAUAAGAGUUCCCUGGUGAAGACACAUGUCAAACUGGAGGUGCAAAAGAGGGACACUUGGCAUCCAAAGUUUUUCUCACAACAUCUUAAGUGAGAUAGUCAUAUGGUGGCGAGAAAGGUUGAGAUGGUCUUGCUAUAUGUUGUAGGCCAAGAUACCUGGUGUGGAUCGGUUGUAAGCUGUAGGUACGGAGGCUCGAGAAUAGUGGUUGGGUUAAGGCGGCAUGCCGACAAACCCUGGAUAUUCCAGUCCGAUGACUGAUUGGACCUGUUGUGUGUUGGCAUUCCAGUCAGAUGACUGAUUGGGCCAAGGUAUUUCGAUCUGAUGAGUGUGGGUCCGUUAUGCAUGAUAAUAAGUUUGUUGUAUCGGAUAUUUUGGGGGAAACUCACUAAACUUUGAGCUUACCCAGUUGUUUAUGUUUUCAAGUUCUAUUGUUGAUCGUGGGAAGACGAAGACAUGACUUUACACACUCAUCAAUAGUAUUGAGGAUUUCGUGUUUCUUAUAUUACUCUGAUUUUCGAUUAAUUUUGGAAUAAACGUUUUUCCUUAAUAAUGGAUUUAUAAUUAGAGAGUUUUGCCUUAUUUAAAAAUGAAAA